rnacentral:rRNA from 1 species
UGCGUAGGCGGUCUGAUAAGUCAGUGGUGAAAUACGGCAGCUUAACUGUCGAGGUGCCAUUGAUACUGUUAGACUUGAGUACAGACGAGGUAGGCGGAAUUGACGGUGUAGCGGUGAAAUGCUUAGAUAUCGUCAAGAACACCGAUAGCGAAGGCAGCUUACUAGACUGUAACUGACGCUGAUGCACGAAAGUGUGGGGAUCAAACAGGAUUAGAUACCCUGGUAGUCC